AGAGCGGCAGCAAGAUGGCGGCGCAACAGCAGGAUGGCGGGGGUGCUGCGCAGCUGGCGGGGCCGGCGGCGGAGGUUGACCCCCUAGGACGCUUCACGUGUCCCGUGUGCUUAGAGGUGUACGAGAAGCCGGUACAGGUGCCCUGCGGACACGUCUUUUGCUCUGCAUGCCUGCAGGAAUGUCUGAAGCCGAAGAAGCCUGUCUGUGGGGUGUGUCGCAGCGCUCUGGCACCUGGCGUCCGAGCCAUGGAGCUCGAGCGGCAGAUCGAGAGCACAGAGACUUCUUGCCAUGGCUGCCGUAAGAAUGUAUGUGGAAGUGAUGUGGAAGAGUCCAUGUCUUUCCAUGAUAAGAUGGGGUAAAACGUACAGCUGCCAUGUUGUUGCUGAAGUUAGAGCAUGACUAGGUCACUAACAGCACGCGUGCAUGCCAGUUACCUGUGGUGAUGGCUGGGCUGGUUUGUUUUCAUAACCUUAGUGGUUUUUGUUUCUUUUUUUGAGAGUUGGUUAAGUAUAUAUUUUAGGUUUGAAAGCCAUAGAAAUCAGUUAUCCCAGUUUUUUCCUAUAAA
rnacentral:sRNA from 1 species